rnacentral:rRNA from 1 species
AACGGCCAUACCAUGCUGAAUAUACCGGUUCUCGUUAGAUCACCGAAGUCAAGCAUCAUUGGGCGCGGUCAGUACUUGGGUGGGUGAUCGACCACCUGCGGAACACCGCGUGCCGUU